rnacentral:rRNA from 1 species
AGAGUUUGAUCAUGGCUCAGGACGAACGCUGGCGGCGUGCCUAACACAUGCAAGUCGAACGGGACCAGGGGCAACUCUGGUUCAGUGGCGGACGGGUGCGUAACACGUGAGGAACAUGACUUUCGGCGGGGGAUAGCCGGCCCAACGGCCGGGUAAUACCGCGUACGACCUCUCGGGGACAUCCCCGGUUGGUGAAAGCAGCAAUGCACCGAAAGAGUGCCUCGCGGCCUAUCAGCUAGUUGGUGGGGUAACGGCUCACCAAGGCGACGACGGGUAGCUGGUCUGAGAGGAUGGCCAGCCACAUUGGGACUGAGACACGGCCCAGACUCCUACGGGAGGCAGCAGUGGGGAAUAUUGCGCAAUGGGCGAAAGCCUGACGCAGCGACGCCGCGUGUGGGAUGACGGCCUUCGGGUUGUAAACCACUGUCGGGAGGGACGAAUGCGCCGCAAGGCGAGUGACGGUACCUCCAAAGGAAGCACCGGCUAACUCCGUGCCAGCAGCCGCGGUAAUUC